UUCGGCUGCGCAGGAGGAACGGUCCGCGUCCUAUCAGCUAGUCGGCAGGGUAAAGGCCUGCCGAGGCGACGACGGGUAUCCGGCCUGAGAGGGUGGACGGACACAUUGGGACUGAGAUACGGCCCAGACUCCUACGGGAGGCAGCAGCUAAGAAUAUUCCGCAAUGGACGAAAGUCUGACGGAGCGACGCCGCGUGGACGAUGAAGGCCGGAAGGUUGUAAAGUCCUUUUACCGUGAAGAAGAAGCGUAAGAGGAAAUGCUUGCGUGGUGAUCGUAGCGGAUGAAUAGCACCGGCUAAU
rnacentral:rRNA from 1 species